rnacentral:rRNA from 1 species
CCUACGGGUGGCAGCAGUGAGGAAUAUUGGUCAAUGGGAGAGAUCCUGAACCAGCCAAGCCGCGUGAGGGAAGACGGCCCUAUGGGUUGUAAACCUCUUUUGUCGGAGAACAAAACCCGGGACGUGUCCCGGACUGCGUGUAUCCGAAGAAAAAGCAUCGGCUAACUCCGUGCCAGCAGCCGCGGUAAUACGGAGGAUGCGAGCGUUAUCCGGAUUUACUGGGCGUAAAGGGAGCGUAGGCGGCCUGCCAAGUCUGAUGUGAAAUACCGGGGCUCAACCCCGGGGCUGCAUUGGAAACUGGCAGGCUGGAGUGCCGGAGAGGCAGGCGGAAUUCCUAGUGUAGCGGUGAAAUGCGUAGAUAUUAGGAGGAACACCAGUGGCGAAGGCGGCCUGCUGGACGGUGACUGACGCUGAGGCUCGAAAGCGUGGGGAGCAAACAGGAUUAGAUACCCUUGUAGUC